GACGAACGCUGGCGGCGUGCUUAACACAUGCAAGUCGAACGAGUGGCGAACGGGUGAGUAAUACGUGAGUAACCUGCCCUCUUUUUGGGAUAAGCUUUGGAAACGGGGUCUAAUACCGGAUAAAGGGGGAUGGGCUCGCGGCCUAUCAGCUUGUUGGUGGGGUGAUGUCCUACCAAGGCAGUGACGGGUAGCCGGGCUGAGAGGGUGACCGGGAACAGAGAGACGGAGCUACCGCCCAGACUCCUACGGGGGGCGGCAGUGUGGGAUAUUGGCCAAUGGGCGAAGGCCUGAUGCAGCGACGCCGCGUAAGGUAUGAGGGCUUUCAGGUUGUAAACCUCUUGCGCAAUCUAACGGGUAGGUGGUGAAGAAGCGCCGGCUAACUACGUGCCAGCCGCCGCGGUAAUUC
rnacentral:rRNA from 1 species